rnacentral:rRNA from 1 species
UGGGGAAUAUUGGACAAUGGGCGCAAGCCUGAUCCAGCCAUGCCGCGUGAGUGAUGAAGGCCUUAGGGUUGUAAAGCUCUUUUAGCGGGGAAGAUAAUGACGGUACCCGCAGAAAAAGCCCCGGCUAACUUCGUGCCAGCAGCCGCGGUAAUACGAAGGGGGCUAGCGUUGCUCGGAAUUACUGGGCGUAAAGCGCACGUAGGCGGACUCUUAAGUCGGUGGUGAAAUCCUGGAGCUCAACUCCAGAACUGCCUUCGAUACUGGGAGUCUUGAGUUCGGGAGAGGUGAGUGGAACUUCGAGUGUAGAGGUGAAAUUCGUAGAUAUUCGCAAGAACACCAGUGGCGAAGGCGGCUCACUGGCCCGAUACUGACGCUGAGGUGCGAAAGCGUGGGGAGCAAACA